UAAUACGGAGGGUGCAAACGUUGCUCGGAAUCAUUGGGCGUAAAGCGCGCGUAGGCGGCUGGACAAGUUGGAUGUGAAAGCCCUGGGCUCAACCUAGGAUGUGCAUUCAAAACUGUCCGGCUUGAAUCUCGGAGGGGGUCAGAGAAUUCCCGGUGUAGAGGUGAAAUUCGUAGAUAUCGGGAGGAACACCAGUGGCGAAGGCGCUGACCUGGACGAUGAUUGACGCUGAGGCGCGAAAGCGUGGGGAGCAAACAGGAUUAGAUACCCUGGUAGUCCACGCCGUAAACGAUGAGUGCUAGACGCUGGCGGAUUGACCCCGUCGGUGUCGAAGCUAACGCGUUAAGCACUCCGCCUGGGGAGUACGGUCGCAAGACUA
rnacentral:rRNA from 1 species